GCCUGGUGGUUCAGCCGGUCGAGCAUCUGACUUCGGCUCAGGUCACGAUCUCAUGGUUCGUGGGUUCAAGCCCCACGUCGGGCU
rnacentral:tRNA from 1 species